UGCAACCUGCCGACAAUCGCCGUGCAUCUUCUCACCAGAGCACGACUGUGACACUUCUCCAGCGAAUCCACUUCCCAGGUUCCCGAUAGCACGGCACUUCGGGAGCCUUUUUGGUUAAACUCCUCAGACAUCAACAGCGGUGUCGCAGACGAGCAUCAAGAUGCGACUGGUCUUCGCAAUUGCUGUCUUCGUCGUGGCCGUGGGUCCAAUCUACGCCGAAUGGAUUGAUCUCCACAAGCCGGUGCGAAUCUGCUCUGCAACGAUGCUGGUCGAAGUCAUAAACAACGUCUGCCAGACGCCACUCACAGCCGCUAGACGUCGCAGGAGGAGCCUCCGAGAUUCUGAUGAGAUGAUUGAUGGUGUCGUGAGGAGCACGAGGCGCUCCAUGGAGAAGCACGCUAUCAAGCUGCCUCCCAAUUUGGUGCGGGAUUUCGCCAACACCUGCUGCUACACACCAUGUCGGCCAUACCGUUUCAUCGACAUCUGCUGACCGAGACGGGCGUAAUACCACGCGUACUCGCGCGCAAAUCACACUGGAACCUGACGACGUACCCUUAUGGCGCUCGUAGGGAAGAGCACAUGAUCUUUCUACACAGUUCAAAAUGCACAGUCGACACCGAUACUUCUUGUGAUAGCACUAUGGCACGGGAGGAAAUAUUUAACACGAUAUAUAUGUUUUCGUGGCUAUGUAUAUAAAGAAGGCUAUAUCUGCACUCACAUUUAUACUAAGAUGUCAAUGCACCGGUACAAUGCAGUGUUCGUACUUUUAGUUUUAUAUGUACGGAUCUUUUUAUCGUCGUCUACUUAAAUGGGUCUUUUGUAACGUGCUUAUGAUUUAUGCUAUUUUUUACAUUAAUAAUUUCUGUGGUUACAAUUACCUGCAAAAUAAAAGCUGAAACAAUA